ACGAGUUAGGGUCUUCUAGGCCCGACCUCCCAACCCUAUGUUUAUUGAACCUCUGUUGCUUCGGCGGACCCGCCUCACGGCCGCCGGAGGACCGCUGCAAGGCGUCCUCUGGCCAGUGUCCGCCGAUGGCCAACCACUUAAACUCUGAAUGAAUCGUGUCAUAUGUCUAAGUCUAUGAUUAAAUUAAAGCA
rnacentral:misc_RNA from 1 species